GGGUUGUGAGGUUAAGCGACUAAGCGUACACGGUGGAUGCCCUGGCAGUCAGAGGCGAUGAAGGGCGUGCUAAUCUGCGAUAAGCGCCGGUAAGGUGAUAUGAACCGUUAUAACCGGCGAUACCCGAAUGGGGAAACCCAGUGUGAUUCGUCACACUAUCAUUAACUGAAUCCAUAGGUUAAUGAGGCGAACCGGGGGAACUGAAACAUCUAAGUACCCCGAGGAAAAGAAAUCAACCGAGAUUCCCCCAGUAGCGGCGAGCGAACGGGGAGGAGCCCAGAGCCUGAAUCAGCAUGUGUGUUAGUGGAAGCGUCUGGAAAGUCGCGCGAUACAGGGUGACAGCCCCGUACACAAAAGCGCAUGUGCUGUGAGCUCGAUGAGUAGGGCGGGACACGUGGUAUCCUGUCUGAAUAUGGGGGGACCAUCCUCCAAGGCUAAAUACUCCUGACUGACCGAUAGUGAACCAGUACCGUGAGGGAAAGGCGAAAAGAACCCCGGCGAGGGGAGUGAAAAAGAACCUGAAACCGUGUACGUACAAGCAGUGGGAGCCCCACCACCAAAGCAUUUGCUGUACCGCGUUGACGGAGCGAAGCGACGUCAAACCGAUAAAACAGCAGUGUAAAGUGAGCCGCAGGGCGCUUUGCGCGACAGCGCAAAGGCAGGCGGUUUCGCGUAGCGAAAGCGAAUGCUUUGGGGUGGGGUGACUGCGUACCUUUUGUAUAAUGGGUCAGCGACUUAUAUUCUGUAGCAAGGUUAACCGUAUAGGGGAGCCGUAGGGAAACCGAGUCUUAACCGGGCGUUAAGUUGCAGGGUAUAGACCCGAAACCCGGUGAUCUAGCCAUGGGCAGGUUGAAGGUUGGGUAACACUAACUGGAGGACCGAACCGACUAAUGUUGAAAAAUUAGCGGAUGACCUGUGGCUGGGGGUGAAAGGCCAAUCAAACCGGGAGAUAGCUGGUUCUCCCCGAAAGCUAUUUAGGUAGCGCCUCGUGAAUUCAUCUCCGGGGGUAGAGCACUGUUUCGGCUAGGGGGCCAUCCCGGCUUACCAACCCGAUGCAAACUGCGAAUACCGGAGAAUGUUAUCACGGGAGACACACGGCGGGUGCUAACGUCCGUCGUGAAGAGGGAAACAACCCAGACCGCCAGCUAAGGUCCCAAAGUCAUGGUUAAGUGGGAAACGAUGUGGGAAGGCCCAGACAGCCAGGAUGUUGGCUUAGAAGCAGCCAUCAUUUAAAGAAAGCGUAAUAGCUCACUGGUCGAGUCGGCCUGCGCGGAAGAUGUAACGGGGCUAAACCAUGCACCGAAGCUGCGGCAGCGACACUGUGUGUUGUUGGGUAGGGGAGCGUUCUGUAAGCCUGUGAAGGUGUGUCGUGAGGCAUGCUGGAGGUAUCAGAAGUGCGAAUGCUGACAUAAGUAACGAUAAAGCGGGUGAAAAGCCCGCUCGCCGGAAGACCAAGGGUUCCUGUCCAACGUUAAUCGGGGCAGGGUGAGUCGACCCCUAAGGCGAGGCCGAAAGGCGUAGUCGAUGGGAAACGGGUUAAUAUUCCCGUACUUGGUGUUACUGCGAAGGGGGGACGGAGAAGGCUAUGUUGGCCGGGCGACGGUUGUCCCGGUUUAAGCGUGUAGGUGUGUGUUCCAGGUAAAUCCGGUUCACUUUAACACUGAGGCGUGACGACGAGGCACUACGGUGCUGAAGCAACAAAUGCCCUGCUUCCAGGAAAAGCCUCUAAGCAUCAGGUAACAUCAAAUCGUACCCCAAACCGACACAGGUGGUCAGGUAGAGAAUACCAAGGCGCUUGAGAGAACUCGGGUGAAGGAACUAGGCAAAAUGGUGCCGUAACUUCGGGAGAAGGCACGCUGACACGUAGGUGAAGUGAUUUACUCAUGGAGCUGAAGUCAGUCGAAGAUACCAGCUGGCUGCAACUGUUUAUUAAAAACACAGCACUGUGCAAACACGAAAGUGGACGUAUACGGUGUGACGCCUGCCCGGUGCCGGAAGGUUAAUUGAUGGGGUCAGCGCAAGCGAAGCUCCUGAUCGAAGCCCCGGUAAACGGCGGCCGUAACUAUAACGGUCCUAAGGUAGCGAAAUUCCUUGUCGGGUAAGUUCCGACCUGCACGAAUGGCGUAAUGAUGGCCAGGCUGUCUCCACCCGAGACUCAGUGAAAUUGAACUCGCUGUGAAGAUGCAGUGUACCCGCGGCAAGACGGAAAGACCCCGUGAACCUUUACUAUAGCUUGACACUGAACAUUGAGCCUUGAUGUGUAGGAUAGGUGGGAGGCUUUGAAGCGUGGACGCCAGUCUGCGUGGAGCCGACCUUGAAAUACCACCCUUUAAUGUUUGAUGUUCUAACGUGGACCCGUGAUCCGGGUUGCGGACAGUGUCUGGUGGGUAGUUUGACUGGGGCGGUCUCCUCCUAAAGAGUAACGGAGGAGCACGAAGGUUGGCUAAUCCUGGUCGGACAUCAGGAGGUUAGUGCAAUGGCAUAAGCCAGCUUGACUGCGAGCGUGACGGCGCGAGCAGGUGCGAAAGCAGGUCAUAGUGAUCCGGUGGUUCUGAAUGGAAGGGCCAUCGCUCAACGGAUAAAAGGUACUCCGGGGAUAACAGGCUGAUACCGCCCAAGAGUUCAUAUCGACGGCGGUGUUUGGCACCUCGAUGUCGGCUCAUCACAUCCUGGGGCUGAAGUAGGUCCCAAGGGUAUGGCUGUUCGCCAUUUAAAGUGGUACGCGAGCUGGGUUUAGAACGUCGUGAGACAGUUCGGUCCCUAUCUGCCGUGGGCGCUGGAGAACUGAGGGGGGCUGCUCCUAGUACGAGAGGACCGGAGUGGACGCAUCACUGGUGUUCGGGUUGUCAUGCCAAUGGCACUGCCCGGUAGCUAAAUGCGGAAGAGAUAAGUGCUGAAAGCAUCUAAGCACGAAACUUGCCCCGAGAUGAGUUCUCCCUGAGACUUAGAGUCUCCUGAAGGAACGUUGAAGACGACGACGUUGAUAGGCCGGGUGUGUAAGCGCAGCGAUGCGUUGAGCUAACCGGUACUAAUGAACCGUGAGGCUUAACCUUACAACGCCGAAG
rnacentral:rRNA from 1 species